UGCUGAGGUAGCUCAGAUUGGUAGAGCAAUGGACUGAAAAUCCAUCGGUCGUGAGUUCGAUUCUCACCCUUAGCAA
rnacentral:tRNA from 1 species